rnacentral:rRNA from 1 species
UACGUAGGUGGCAAGCGUUGUCCGGAAUUAUUGGGCGUAAAGCGCGCGCAGGCGGCCUUUUAAGUCUGCUGUGAAAGCCCACGGCUCAACCGUGGAAGGUCAUUGGAAACUGAAAGGCUUGAGUACAGAAGAGGAAAGCGGAAUUCCACGUGUAGCGGUGAAAUGCGUAGAGAUGUGGAGGAACACCAGUGGCGAAGGCGGCUUUCUGGUCUGUAACUGACGCUGAGGCGCGAAAGCGUGGGGAGCAAACAGG